AGGGCCUUGCGCAGUCUAUAGCUGCAUCCAGCCAAAUACUAGUAGAACCCAAAACAUUGUUUUGACAAGUACUGUCAUAUUUCGGUUGCAGGUUUUCACUAAAUACCAAGCUGAUCCUACGAGCUACCCAGCUACGACAGUUUUACCUACAAAUGUUUAGCGUUUCGUGCUGCAACUAUUAGUUGAUAUUCUAGGAUGUUAUGCCUAAAAUUGGAAUUCAGCUAUCAGAGAUUACCAAAUUUCAAGCGGAAACUCUAGAUGGCGCUGAUGUGCGUUUAUGAUGAAGAUUAUGAGUGACUAGUUAAAUGGGUGUUUUUUACGUUACACUGUUAAGUGUUUUUCAAAGGAUUUUUCGUCAAAAAAUUUACGAUUGCUUUUUGUAUAUGAGGGUGUUUUGCCUGCUGCUUCAGCUGCUGAACCAGUAGUCUGCAUUCCUGCUAUCACUGUACCACAAGAGAUCCUGACACUUUAAGAAGGCCACUAAUGCUUACAUGAAGAUCACACUCCAGUUCAAAGUUUUCAUCUACUUUGUGUUGCUAAUCAUCAGCCCUCAGCAUCGCAGGUAUCCAGAUUUCCAAGUUUCUCUGAUUAGCCAACCAUCAUCCAUACCCUUCAGCUCUUCAUUGUGGCUUUUUCUUCAUCUCUUCUUAGUCUGCUGAAUGCCAACAUCGAAUAAGGUUCAUCAUCAUUGCCUUUCCAUGCCAGCUCACAUGGAUAGGCUUUAACAACAUAUCCAUUUUAUGGACUGCAAAUAUUCAUCUUCCUUCGGUACAACACUGCCGUUUUGACAAUUUCGGUAGUUUCGCCCUUAGUGGACCACACUUUCUAUUUAGAACUACAUUUUCCUCGUCUCCCUGUCGUUAUUGUCUACGGCUUCACCUCAUCGCUGUCUUCGUUGACGUCUUAGCCUUCAUCUCCUUUUCAGCCUUCAUCUCCGUCUCAGUCUUCAUCUCCGUCUCAGCCUUCAUCUCCGUCUCAGCCUUCAUCUCCGUCUCAGCCUUCAUCUCCGUCUCAGCCUUCAUCUCCGUCUCAGCCUUCAUCUCCGUCUCAGCCUUCAUCUCCGUCUCAGCCUUCAUCUCCGUCUCGUCGUCUUCGCCGUCUUUGUCUACGCCAUCACCUCGUCGCCGGCUUCUCCUUCGCCCUUCACGUAGGGAAUUCACCGUGGAUCGUCGCUCUGGUAUUGUUUUAUUUUGCAUUGUUAUGUUUAAGUUAACCCGUUGGCUGCCACCCCGUUUGCGUCCCAUUUUUUUUGUAGCUUGUAGGGACCGGCCGCAAUGGCCUUCGCCGUAAGGCGCCUUAGGCAA
rnacentral:lncRNA from 1 species